UGAAACGGCCCAUGUGAGGCUGAGACGGCCCCGUUGAGGUUGAGAUGGCCUCGGUGAGGUUAAGACGACCCUGGUGGGGUCGAAACGGCCCCAGUGAGGCUGGGACGGCCCCUGUGAG